rnacentral:rRNA from 1 species
UACGAAGGGACCUAGCGUAGUUCGGAAUUACUGGGCUUAAAGAGUUCGUAGGUGGUUAAAAAAGUUGAUGGUGAAAUCCCAAGGCUCAACCUUGGAACUGCCAUCAAAACUUUUUAGCUAGAGUAUGAUAGAGGAAAGCGGAAUUUCUAGUGUAGAGGUGAAAUUCGUAGAUAUUAGAAAGAACACCAAAAGCGAAGGCAGCUUUCUGGAUCAUUACUGACACUGAGGAACGAAAGCAUGGGUAGCGAAGAGGAUUAGAUACCCUCGUAGUCCAUGCCGUAAACGAUGUGUGCUAGACGUUGGAAACUUAGUUUUCAGUGUCGCAGCGAAAGCAUUAAGCACACCGCCUGGGGAGUACGACCGCAAGGUUAAAACUCAAAUGAAUUGACGGGGACCCGCACAAGUAGUGGAGCAUGUGGUUUAAUUCGAAGAUACGCGCAGAACCUUACCAACACUUGACAUGUUCGUCGCGAGACCAAGAGAUUGGUUUCUUCAUUCAGUUGGACGAAACACAGGUGCUGCAUGGCUGUCGUCAGCUCGCGUCGUGAGAUGUUGGGUUAAGUCCCGCAACGAGCGCAACCCCUACCUUUAGUUGCCACCAUUUAGUUGGGCACUUUAAAGGAACUGCCAGUGAUAAGCUGGAGGAAGGUGGGGAUGACGUCAAGUCCUCAUGGCCCUUACGUGUUGGGCUACACACGUGCUACAAUGGCAUUUACAAUGGGAAGCUAAGACGCGAGUCCAAGCUAAUCCCAAAAAGAUGCCUCAGUUCGGAUUGUACUCUGUAACUCGAGUGCAUGAAGCUGGAAUUACUAGUAAUCGCGGAUCAGCGCGCCGCGGUGAAUACGUUCCCGGGUCU